rnacentral:rRNA from 1 species
CCUACGGGGGGCUGCAGUGGGGAAUAUUGCACAAUGGGCGCAAGCCUGAUGCAGCCAUGCCGCGUGUGUGAAGAAGGCCUUCGGGUUGUAAAGCACUUUCAGCGGGGAGGAAGGCGGUGAGGUUAGUAACCUCAUCGAUUGACGUUACCCGCAGAAGAAGCACCGGCUAACUCCGUGCCAGCAGCCGCGGUAAUACGGAGGGUGCAAGCGUUAAUCGGAAUUACUGGGCGUAAAGCGCACGCAGGCGGUCUGUCAAGUCGGAUGUGAAAUCCCCGGGCUCAACCUGGGAACUGCAUUCGAAACUGGCAGGCUAGAGUCUUGUAGAGGGGGGUAGAAUUCCAGGUGUAGCGGUGAAAUGCGUAGAGAUCUGGAGGAAUACCGGUGGCGAAGGCGGCCCCCUGGACAAAGACUGACGCUCAGGUGCGAAAGCGUGGGGAGCAAACAGGAUUAGAUACCCUUGUAGUC